rnacentral:rRNA from 1 species
ACGAACGCUGGCGGCGUGCUUAACACAUGCAAGUCGAACGAAGAGCGAUGGAAGCUUGCUUCUAUCAAUCUUAGUGGCGAACGGGUGAGUAACGCGUAAUCAACCUGCCCUUCAGAGGGGGACAACAGUUGGAAACGACUGCUAAUACCGCAUACGAUCUAAUCUCGGCAUCGAGGAUAGAUGAAAGGUGGCCUCUACAUGUAAGCUAUCACUGAAGGAGGGGAUUGCGUCUGAUUAGCUAGUUGGAGGGGUAACGGCCCACCAAGGCGAUGAUCAGUAGCCGGUCUGAGAGGAUGAACGGCCACAUUGGGACUGAGACACGGCCCAGACUCCUACGGGAGGCAGCAGUGGGGAAUCUUCCGCAAUGGACGAAAGGCUGACGGAGCAACGCCGCGUGAGCGAUGACGGCCUUCGGGUUGUAAAGCUCUGUUAAUCGGGACGAAAGGCCUUCUUGCGAAUAGUGAGAAGGAUUGACGGUACCGGAAUAGAAAGCCACGGCUAACUACGUG